CAGGAAGGGGACAUGCAGAAAGAGGCCAGUGGAAGAGGAAAGGCAUAUAGGAGUCAGGUGGUAGCACACUUGGUCAAGCAUGAUGUUACCAUGAGCAAGGGCCAGGGUUCAAGCCCCUGGUUCCACCUGCAGUCACCAAGUUGCAGAUGCUGCCAUGACACCAACCUAAAUUCCCUGGGCAGCCAACCUCACCAAUAUGUCCUGGAAGUCCCCCUCCCCAGAGCCCUGCACCACUAGGGAAAGAUAGAAACAGGCUGGGGUUGUAGAUCGACCUGUCAAUGCCCAUGUCCAGUGGAGAAGCAAUUACAGAAGCCAGACCUUCCAUCUUCUGCAUCCCAUAAAGAUCUUUGGUUCAUACUCCCAGAGGGAUAAAGAAUAGGGAACUUUCCAGUGGAAAGUUGGAGGGGAUGGGAUACGGAACUCUGGUGGUGGAAUUGUACUCCUCUUAUCCCACAAUCUUGUCAAUCAAUAUUAAAUCACUAAUAAAAUAAAAUUAAAAAAUAAGAGAUUAAAAAAACACUGUUGACUGUAAACCAUUAAUCCCCACAAUAAAAAAUAAAUAAA